UCAGGGAAUACAAGGACAUAAAGGAUGAAUUUUUUAUAGUAUAACAUGGAUAUGAAGAACAGUAUGUCUUCAGAAUCUUGGUUCACAUCACUUUCUUGUUCUGCCUCCAGACUACAGUCUUCAGAGGAUUUAGCAGUUGUUAAAUGGUGUCGAGCAAAAGACAUUGAAACACCAGUAUUCCAGAUAUGUUGCUUCUGCACAGAAGGACAAGUGAUAUUUGGGUGGUACACUAUAGGCAAAAAACUCCUUAGAGGCAGGACAAAAAGUUUUUUCUGCUCUUGAUUGUUGAGAUGUUCGAGCAGAUUCUCCCUCGAGGACUAUCAACAGGGCUUAAAAGGCCAAAUUUUGUUCUAAAAUUCAAAGCCCCCCAUCAUUAUUUCGGACCAACAACAGCAACAAUAACAACAACAAACCAGUACGAUCGCACUCAGUGGGGAAAGGUUCUGACAAGGAUCCAUGGUAUAACUGGCAAGACCGAUGUCGUGUGACCUUACGGUCACGGACUUGGAACAAGGAAAAUAGAGUUGGAAGAGGAUGAAGAGAGGAAAAGAGUUAAAGGCUGUUGAAGAAUGACUGGAUGGAGUUUGGGUUCAAGAAAGCUUCCAUUUAUAGAAAGGCGGUAGCGUAAUCGACGACGCAAUCAAUGCCUUUGGGAAACAUAUCGAAAGGCACAAUCAAUGAAUUUUGGAAAACGGAUCGGCGACAAUAUUAUUGCUUUUGGGAAAUAAACCGAUGCUACAUUGAAUGCUUCUGGAUAGACGAACCGAUGGGACGUCUCAGUUAUCACAAAAUCUUACAUCAUAAGCAUGAUGUCAUUACGAGAGGCUUGAGGAGAUCGACGUCAAAAUCAUUUCUUAUCAUUUUAAUCUAAGAAAUACGGGGACUAUCUGUAUAUGGUAAAAAACAGAGGGUCCGAUUUUAUGAUCAUUAUGGCGCUUUGUGAGACCGCAUCCUGAAGUCUAGAGGCCCGGCUCGAGGUUCGACCCCGAGGAUUCUUAAUGAUCGACCUCGAGGUAGUGAAAUCAAAGGCUAUGAUGGACAAACGGGAAGUUCCCAAGGCACGUGAUUAAAGCUGACCAAGUCUAUUAGGCUAGUUCAAGCCCGUACCGUGGC